rnacentral:rRNA from 1 species
CGCUGGCGGCAGGCCUAACACAUGCAAGUCGAGCGGUAGCACAGAGAGCUUGCUCUCGGGUGACGAGCGGCGGACGGGUGAGUAAUGUCUGGGAAACUGCCUGAUGGAGGGGGAUAACUACUGGAAACGGUAGCUAAUACCGCAUAACGUCGCAAGACCAAAGUGGGGGACCUUCGGGCCUCAUGCCAUCAGAUGUGCCCAGAUGGGAUUAGCUGGUAGGUGGGGUAACGGCUCACCUAGGCGACGAUCCCUAGCUGGUCUGAGAGGAUGACCAGCCACACUGGAACUGAGACACGGUCCAGACUCCUACGGGAGGCAGCAGUGGGGAAUAUUGCACAAUGGGCGCAAGCCUGAUGCAGCCAUGCCGCGUGUGUGAAGAAGGCCUUCGGGUUGUAAAGCACUUUCAGCGGGGAGGAAGGCG